rnacentral:rRNA from 1 species
AUACGGAGAAUCCGAGCGUUAUCCGGAUUUAUUGGGUUUAAAGGGUGCGCAGGCGGCCAUUUAAGUCAGCGGUUAAAUCGUGGGGCUCAACCCCAUUCUGCCGUUGAUACUGGGUGGCUUGAUUGCGGUCGAGGUUGGCGGAAUUCGUUGUGUAGCGGUGAAAUGCAUAGAUAUGACGAAGAACACCGAUUGCGUAGGCAGCUGACCAGACCGCAAAUGACGCUCAUGCACGAAAGUGCGGGGAUCGAACAGGAUUAGAUACCCUGGUAGUCCGCACAGUAAACGAUGAAUACUUGUUUUCGGCGAUAUAAUGUCGGAGGCAAAGCGAAAGCGAUAAGUAUUCCACCUGGGGAGUACGCCGGCAACGGUGAAACUCAAAUGAAUUGACGGGG